CUUAGGAAUGUAAGCCUGUCAGCUUAUAACAUGAUCGAGAGCCGCUAGUGUUCUGCUUAAUAUUCAACUUAGAAUGAAUUCCCUUAUCCGUAAAUAAUUCAAACAUAACCUAAACGUUGUUUGCUCAUGUUUUGGCUUUAUGGCAGUUGAAGCAUGAACAAAGAGGAGGUAAUUUUGUACAAGUUUGGUGAUAGAAUAAUUGCUACAUGAGCCUAAACCUCAUCUAGCCUUGUUAUGAUCAUAGUAUCUACUCUCCGUAGGAAUGAUAUGUCAUAUAUAGAUGAUGCAGACAAAUGCCUAUUACCAGAUUUAGGCUUGAACACAUUAUUUACAAGUCACCAACAUCAAUCACAUGAUCCGAUGGUGGGCAGGGAGUCUCCAGGACUUUUGAUUUUGGUCUCUAGUAGUUUAGAGACUCCAUUACAUUAUUUGUACCCAUUUAGCAUAUUCAGGGACAAACAUAUGGAACCUAAAUGUUCAGAUGCAUAGAAAGAUGUCAGACAUCAAAAAAGUUGAUCAUUUACUAAUUGCCUUACUAGUCUGCCGUGAAAUGUCAUGUAGAAGUGGACCAAGGUCUUCCAUUCUGCGGUAUAGUGGGUAUACCACUUCCUACUUAUCUUCUGCUAGAUCAAGAUGCAGAAUGAGCCUUGGUUUUGGCCAGUGUCUACUUCACUAAAUAGGUGGUUGGUUCUGCAACAAGUUUUGGAGCAUGUUAAUUAGUAAUCAACCAACCACACAAGCGGCAUCAAUUCUUCAAAUUUGAUUUCCUGUCAUUUCGGAUCUAUCAAACUAGACAAUUAACUAUUGGAGCCAAGGACAAAAGAUCCUGCUGUCCCAUGAACAUCCAAUAUUCUCCUUGAGUUCAUCUAAUGCUUGAAGCAUUUACAUGAUUUGGAGUAGUUAAAUUUGCAGUUUUGGAGCAAUUACCGUACCUGGAGAAAAUACAUCUCUUCUGAGUUUGCUCUUCGUACUUACCAAGGUGUUCCUGGAGCAUUUGCUGGAGUCAAGUGGCUUGCUACGAUUCUAGGAACCAUGCGAACCCCACCAUCAUUUCGAGCCACUUCCCACCAUAACAUGUACUUCCUAUCUUAUAAUUGCAAGACCAUAAUGAGUCCUUGACAUGCAUGGUGGACUUGGUUAUCAACCUGACCCAACUCACACUCUCUCUCCUGAACUGGUGAUUCUGUUCUCUCCAUCUUUGUUCAACUUGGUACAGUUCUCAUAUGCAUUGAGGUGGUCAUUGACUCCAGAUCUAGAAUCGACCCAAAGCGAUAUAUCAGAAUCAUUCAAAGCUGUCUAUGGCAAAACAGCGAUGAUAAUGUGUUUGCUGCUUGACGACCACAGCAGUCAAUAUCGUCAAAAGCUUCAAAAGAGAUGCCAAUUUAUUGCCACUGUCUAUUAAUAAAAG